UCUCCGUUGGUGAACCAGCGGAGGGAUCAUUACCGAGUUUACAACUCCCAAACCCCAUGUGAACUUAUACCUUUACAACCGUUGCUUCGGCGGGUCUUCGCCCCGGGAACCCGGGACCUCUCAGCAGGUCUCUGGCCCCGGAGCCAGGCGCCCGCCGGGGGACCCAAACUCUUGUAUUUAAUUACCUUAAGCAUGUCUGAGUGGAAUCAUUACACAAUGAAUCAAAACUUUCAACAACGGAUCUCUUGGUUCUG
rnacentral:misc_RNA from 1 species